CAGGCUCUGGUAUAUCUUGGGUUAGUUAUACAAAUCUUUGAUAUAAUGGUACAUUUCAUUUGAAAUUGACAGCAGCUCAUGUCAGCUAAACUGGCUUCUGAUAUUCAUCCUCGUUUCACUAUCAACUGACUGGCUUCAUCAGGCAGCUUUAGAUCCUCCAUACAACGAUGGGCCAUCCUGAAAAAACAUGUGGACAUCCCUUCGAAGAUGUGGACUUAGACAAGGUGGGAGAAGAAAGUUAAGAGUGUCGAGCCACUGAUGUAUCAGGCAGCAGCGGUGACAGAGUCACUGAUUGAGGAGCAGGAACCAGUGUCCAGUGCUUGCUAUAGGCGAGCCCAUAACGGUUUGGCAUAACGUGUACCCAUCCUGCUCUUCUGAUUCGGCACUGGGACCUGUCCUGGAUGGUUGCCCAUGAGUUCCUCCCGGUCAGGGCCGUUAUGCCCUCCCGGGACAUGGCGAGGAUAUCCGCGUGCCCCUACCAGGCUGCAGCCAAGAGGGGUCGGUGAGGCACUUGCUCUGGGAGUGCAGAGCCACCAGGGACCUGUAGAAGGAAGCAGGCUCCCUGAUUUCCCCGUGUCUGCCAGCAGGGGAGGACCUAACGCCCCAGCUUGUGCUGUAUGGGGUGGGCCGAAGGCCUAUUCCACCGAAGGCCUUCGCCAAGCUCUGGCCUACCCUCACGUGUCUGAAGGAUGCACAGUAGUACUCCCGCAACCUGCUGGUAGUGAAACGAGUAGAGACCACCCCCCAGGCAGUGGCCAUGGUAGUCACGGAAGCCCUGGUGUGGUACAGAAGAAAGGGGGCCUCGACCCCAGGCGAAGGGUCCCCCACAACACCCAAGGUCCCGGCGGCCACGGCCUGACAGCGCUGUGGCGCCUAGGGCGAUGCGCCUAGAGGAUGGAUCUCCUCUGGGCCCCGACGGACAGGACGGUAAUUGAUUCGGAGGAGCAGGAGAAGGCGAGUUUGAUAAGGACUCACACCGUUCCUGUACAAAAGACAGAAGAAAGCCUUUUAACAGUAACUUUUUAAAAUGUUUUUCAUGUCUUAAAAAUGUUUUACCUUCGUUAAAUCAUUUGUACACAUUUUAAAUGACUUUUUACAGAAUUUGAUGUUUUUUACAAGAAAAAGUACUUUUAUUCAUGGUUGUUUCUAUUGGUUUUAACAACAUGUACUUUUAAACUGAUUUAAAUGUAACAUUCAAAUGCUGUGUUUUAUGCUUUUAUGCCGUUUUUAUGUGUAUAAAAGUGUGCAAAAAUACAUGAGCUGUUUUAAAGGAAGUGCAACAAUAAAACUUUUCCAAA